rnacentral:rRNA from 1 species
UACGAAGGGGGGCUAGCGUUGCUCGGAUUUACUGGGCGUAAAGGGCGCGUAGACGGACAGUUUAGUCAGAGGUGAAAGCCCAGGGCUCAACCUUGGAAUUGCCUUUGAUACUGGCUGUCUUGAGUACGGGAGAGGUGAGUGGAACUCCGAGUGUAGAGGUGAAAUUCGUAGAUAUUCGGAAGAACACCAGUGGCGAAGGCGACUCACUGGCCCGUUACUGACGCUGAGGCGCGAAAGCGUGGGGAGCAAACAGG